rnacentral:tRNA from 1 species
GCGGAUAUGGCGGAAUUGGCAGACGCGCCGGAUUUAGGUUCCGGUGGGCGACCGUGGAGGUUCGAGUCCUCUUGUCCGCA